rnacentral:rRNA from 1 species
UUUCCGGUUGAUCCUGCCGGAGGCCAUUGCUAUCGGAGUCCGAUUUAGCCAUGCUAGUUGCACGGGUUUAGACCCGUGGCGAAAAGCUCAGUAACACGUGGCCAAGCUACCCUGUGGACCGGAAUAACCUCGGGAAACUGAGGAUAAUUCCGGGUAACGCUCCCUCACUGGAAUGUGGGGAGCUGGAAACGUUACGGCGCCACAGGAUGCGGCUGCGGCCGAUUAGGUUGACGGUGGGGUAACGGCCCACCGUGCCCAUAAUCGGUACGGGUUGUGAGAGCAAGAGCCCGGAGACGGAAUCUGAGACAAGAUUCCGGGCCCUACGGGGCGCAGCAGGCGCGAAACCUUUACACUGCACGACAGUGCGAUAGGGGGACUCCGAGUGCGAGGGCAUAGAGCCCUCGCUUUUCUGUACCGUAAGGUGGUACAGGAAGAAGGGCUGGGCAAGACCGGUGCCAGCCGCCGCGGUAAUACCGGCAGCCCAAGUGAUGGCCGAUAUUAUUGGGCCUAAAGCGUCCGUAGCUGGCCGGACAAGUCCGUUGGGAAAUCCGCACGCUUAACGUGCGGGCGUCCAGCGGAAACUGUCCGGCUUGGGACCGGAAGACCCGAGGGGUACGUCCGGGGUAGGAGUGAAAUCCUGUAAUCUCGGACGGACCACCUGUGGCGAAAGCGCCUCGGGAAGACGGAUCCGACAGUGAGGGACGAAAGCCAGGGUCUCGAACCGGAUUAGAUACCCGGGUAGUCCUGGCCGUAAACGAUGUCCGCUAGGUGUGACGCAGGCUACGAGCCUGCGUUGUGCCGUAGGGAA